CCCGGACCGUAGAGGCGGAAGUAAAGCCAUCUAGCGAAUACUAAUCCAAUCCAGGUUGAGGGCCAGCAGUUUUCCAGCUCUUCAGGAGGAAUGCAACAUCCUCUCUCUUUAAGACAAACUAGCAUUCCAAAAGGUUUGGGAUACCUGACCAUUAUGGCACCAAGAAACUUCUUGUGUAUGAGGAGUAACUU